rnacentral:misc_RNA from 1 species
GGAAGACCUCUUUUCGGCUCAGGUAAAAUCAGUUGACAUAUAACUUUAGCUAUUAGAAAACUGAAAAGCUGUGUGGCUUUUUGGAUGCCUUUUUUUAAUGUGGUAGAAAAACUGAUGAUAUUAUUUCAUAAGGGUAUGCAUAUUUAUGUGCAAGAUUUCCUAAGAUUAGGCUAACUAUUUAGGUAGAUAUACAUAUCUAAUCCUAUAAUCAAGCUAAUAGAGAAUCUAUAGAUUUGUUUCCUAAUCCUACAACUUCUGUAACACUUUUUAUUGACAUUGUAGUGAAUAUUGAUUAUUUAAUUAAUUAUAUGAUACAAUGGUAUGUUUGCAGUUAAGAUAGAUCUGCAUCAGCAUACAACAUUUCGUUAAAUAUGUCAAAUUUUGAAAGUUCAUAUACUUUAGUUUGUCCACUUCAAUGCCUUUUAAUACCGUUUCUUUCUUCCUCCUUUUUCUUUUCUAUUUUUCUAUUUUCCUCUAAGC